UCUCUGUUAGUAUAUCGGUUAGUACACGCGCUUGUCAUAUCGACCGCGCGAAAGCGGGGUUCGACUCCCCGACAGAGAG
rnacentral:tRNA from 1 species